rnacentral:tRNA from 1 species
UAGCCUAGUGGUUAAGGCUAUGGAUCGCCAAUCCGGAGACGGCGGGUUCGAUUCUCGC